GAUGAAGAACGCAGCGAAAUGCGAUAAGUAAUGUGAAUUGCAGAAUUCAGUGAAUCAUCGAAUCUUUGAACGCACAUUGCGCCCGCCAGUAUUCUGGCGGGCAUGCCUGUUCGAGCGUCAUUUCAACCAUCAAGCCCCCGGCUUGUGUUGGGGACCUGCGGCUGCCGCAGGCCCUGAAAACCAGUGUCGGGCUCGCUAGUCACUCCGAGCGUAGUAGUUACAUCUCGCUCAGGGCGUGCUGCGGGUUCCGGCCGUUAAAAGCCUUAUUUACCCAAGGUUGACCUCGGAUCAGGUAGGAAGACCCGCUGAACUUAAGCAUAUCAAUAAGCGGAGGA
rnacentral:misc_RNA from 1 species